CCGGACCUGACUGCUAUCGGAUUGGUACUAAGCCAUGCGAGUCGUUGUAGCAAUACAAGGCGGACGGCUCAGUAACACGUAGUCAACCUAACCUAUGGACGUGGAUAACCUCGGGAAACUGAGAAUAAACCGCGAUAGAUCAUAAUGCCUGGAAUGGCUUAUGGUUAAAAUAAUUUAUUGCCGUAGGAUGGGACUGCGGCCUAUCAGCUUGUUGGUGUGGUAAUAGCCCACCAAGGCUAUAACAGGUACGGGCUCUGAGAGGAGAAGCCCGGAGAUGGGUACUGAGACACGGACCCAGGCCCUAUGGGGCGCAGCAGGCGAGAAACCUUAGCAAUGUGCGAAAGCACGACUAGGUUAAUCCGAGUGAUUUCUGUUGAAGAAAUCUUUUGUCAGUCGUAAAACCACAGACGAAUAAGGGGUGGGCAAGUCUGGUGUCAGCCGCCGCGGUAAUACCAGCACCUCGAGUGGUCAGGAGGUUUAUUGGGCCUAAAGCAUCCGUAGCCGGCUAUGCAAGUCUCCGGUUAAAUCCAACUGCUCAACAGAUGGGCUGCCGGAGAUACUACACAGCUAGGGAGCGGGAGAGGUAGACGGUAUUCUGUGGGUAGGGGUAAAAUCCACUGAUCCAUAGAGGACCACCAGUGGCGAAGGCGGUCUACCAGAACGCGUUCGACGGUGAGGGAUGAAAGCUGGGGGAGCAAACCGGAUUAGAUACCCGGGUAGUCCCAGCUGUAAACGAUGCAAACUCGGUGAUGCAUUGACUUAUGGUCAAUGCAGUGCCGCAGGGAAGCCGUUAAGUUUGCCGCCUGGGAAGUACGGACGCAAGUCUGAAACUUAAAGGAAUUGGCGGGGGAGCACCACAAGGGGUGAAGCCUGCGUUCAAUGGAUUCAACGCCGG
rnacentral:rRNA from 1 species